AUUGAACGCUGGCGGCAUGCCUUACACAUGCAAGUCGAACGGCAGCACGGGAGCAAUCCUGGUGGCGAGUGGCGAACGGGUGUGUAAUGUAUCGGAACGUACCUUUCAGUGGGGGAUAACGUAGCGAAAGUUACGCUAAUACCGCAUAUUCUGUGUGCAGGAAAGCAGGGGAUCGCAAGACCUUGCGCUGAUUGAGCGGCCGAUAUCAGAUUAGCUAGUUGGUGAGGUAAAGGCUCACCAAGGCGACGAUCUGUAGCGGGUCUGAGAGGAUGAUCCGCCACACUGGAACUGAGACACGGUCCAGACUCCUACGGGAGGCAGCAGUGGGGAAUUUUGGACAAUGGGGGCAACCCUGAUCCAGCCAUGCCGCGUGAGUGAAGAAGGCCUUCGGGUUGUAAAGCUCUUUCGGCCGGGAAGAAAUCGCAUGGGUUAAUACCCUGUGCGGAUGACGGUACCGGCAUAAGAAGCACCGGCUAACUACGUGCCAGCAGCCGCGGUAAUACGUAGGGUGCGAGCGUUAAUCGGAAUUACUGGGCGUAAAGCGUGCGCAGGCGGUUUUGUAAGACAGGCGUGAAAUCCCCGGGCUCAACCUGGGAACUGCGCUUGUGACUGCAAGGCUAGAGUAUGGCAGAGGGGGGUGGAAUUCCACGUGUAGCAGUGAAAUGCGUAGAGAUGUGGAGGAACACCAAUGGCGAAGGCAGCCCCCUGGGCCAAUACUGACGCUCAUGCACGAAAGCGUGGGUAGCAAACAGGAUUAGAUACCCUGGUAGUCCACGCCCUAAACGAUGUCAACUAGGUGUUGGGUGGGUAANNNNAUUUAGUACCGGAGCUAACGCGUGAAGUUGACCGCCUGGGGAGUACGGCCGCAAGGUUAAAACUCAAAGGAAUUGACGGGGACCCGCACAAGCGGUGGAUGAUGUGGAUUAAUUCGAUGCAACGCGAAAAACCUUACCUACCCUUGACAUGUCCAGGAGCCUGAAGAGAUUUGGGUGUGCCCGAAAGGGAACUGGAACACAGGUGCUGCAUGGCUGUCGUCAGCUCGUGUCGUGAGAUGUUGGGUUAAGUCCCGCAACGAGCGCAACCCUUGUCGUUAAUUGCCAUCAUUCAGUUGGGCACUUUAACGAGACUGCCGGUGACAAACCGGAGGAAGGUGGGGAUGACGUCAAGUCCUCAUGGCCCUUAUGGGUAGGGCUUCACACGUCAUACAAUGGUCGGUACAAAGGGUCGCCAACCCGCGAGGGGGAGCCAAUCCCAGAAAGCUGAUCGUAGUCCGGAUCGCAGGCUGCAACUCGCCUGCGUGAAGUCGGAAUCGCUAGUAAUCGUGGAUCAGCAUGUCACGGUGAAUACGUUCCCGGGUCU
rnacentral:rRNA from 1 species